AGUUUGGCUUGUUGUUAUAAAAAAUGUGUUUGUUUUGGCGAGUUUGAUCGUUUUUGAGCAUGUGUAAUGCCAUGAAUGCGUUAAGCUGUUGUUCUAGUGUUCUUUUGAUGAGUUUGGCUUGUUGUUAUGAAAAGUGUUUGUUUUGGCGAGUUUGAACGUUUUUGAGCAUGUGUAAUGGCAUGAAUGCGUUAAGUUGUUGUUUUAGUGUUCUUUUGAUGAGUUUGGCUUGUUGUUAUGAAAAGUGUUUGUUUUGGCGAGUUUGAACGUUUUUGAGCAUGUGUAAUGGCAUGAAUGCGUUAAGUUGUUGUUUUAGUGUUCUUUUGAUGAGUCUGGCUUGUUGUUAUGAAAAGUGUUUGUUUUGGCGAGUUUGAACGUUUUUGAGCAUGUGUAAUGCCAUGAAUGCGUUAAGCUGUUGUUCUAGUGUUCUUUUGAUGAGUUUGGCAUGUUGUUAUGAACAUUGUUCGUUUUGGCGAGUUUGAACGUUUUUUAGCAUGUGUAAUGGCAUGAAUGUGUUGAAUUAGUAAUCCCUUGUGUUAAGCCGUUGUUUUAGUGUUCUUUUGAUGAGUUUGGCUUGUUGUUAUGAACAUUGUUCGUUUUGGCCAGUUUGAAGGUUUUUUAGCAUGUGUAAUGAUAUGAAUGUGUUGAAUUAGUAAUCCCUUGUGUUAAGCCGUUGUUUUAGUGUUCUUUUGAUGAGUUUGGCUUGUUGUUAUGAACAUUGUUCGUUUUAGCCAGUUUGAAGGUUUUUUAGCAUGUGUAAUGGCAUGAAUGUGUUGAAUUAGUAAUCCCUUGUGUUAAGCCGUUGUUUUAGUGUUCUUUUGAUGAGUUUGGCUUGUUGUUAUGAAAAGUGUUUGUUUUGGCGAGUUUGAACGUUUUUGAGCAUGUGUAAUGGCAUGAAUGUGUUGAAUUAGUAAUACCUUGUGUAAAGCUGUUGUUUUAGUGUUCUUUUGAUGAGUUUGGCUUGUUGUUAUGAAAAGUGUUUGUUUUGGCGAGUUUGAACGUUUUUGAGCAUGUGAAAUGGCAUGAAUGCGUUAAGCUGUUGUUUUAGUGUUCUUUUGAUGAGUUUGGCUUGUUGUUAUGAAAAGUGUUUGUUUUGGCGAGUUUGAACGUUUUUGAGCAUGUGUAAUGGCAUGAAUGCGUUAAGCUGUUGUUUUAGUGUUCUUUUGAUGAGUUCGGCUUGUUGAUAUGAACAUUGUUCGUUUUGGCCAGUUUGAAGGUUUUUUAGCAUGUGUAAUGGUAUGAAUGUGUUGAAUUAGUAAUCCGUUGUGUUAAGCCGUUGUUUUAGUGUUCUUUUGAUGAGUUUGGCUUGUUGUUAUGAAAAGUGUUGGUUUAGGCGAGUUUGAACGUUUUUGAGCAUGUGUAAUGGCAUGAAUGCAUUAAGCUGUUGUUUUAGUGUUCUUUUGAUGAGUUUGGCUUUUUGUUAUGAACAUUGUUCGUUUUGGCCAGUUUGAAGGUUUUUGAGCAUGUGUAAUGGCAUGAAUGUGUUCUAUUAGUAAUCCCUUGUGUUAAGCCGUUGUUUUAGUUUUCUUUUGAUGAGUUUGGCUUGUUGUUAUGAAAAGUGUUUGUUUUGGCGAGUUUGAAGGUAUUUUAGCAUGUGUAAUGUCAUAAAUGUGUUGAAUUAGAAAUCCCUUGUGUUAAGCCGUUGUUUUAGUGUUCUUUUGAUGAGUUUGGCUUGUUGUUAUGAAAAGUGUUUGUUUUGGCGAGUUUGAACGUUUUUGAGCAUGUGUAAUGGCAUGAAUGCGUUAAGCUGUUGUUUUAGUGUUCUUUUGAUGAGUUUGGCUUGUUGUUAUGAAAAGUGUUUGUUUUGGCGAGUUUGAACGUUUUUGAGCAUAUGUAAUGGCAUGAAUGAGUUAAGCUGUUGUUUUAGUGUUCUUAUGAUGACUUUGGCUUGUUGUUAUGAACAUUGUUC
rnacentral:lncRNA from 1 species